rnacentral:rRNA from 1 species
UAGGGAAUCUUCCACAAUGGACGCAAGUCUGAUGGAGCAACGCCGCGUGAGUGAAGAAGGUUUUCGGAUCGUAAAGCUCUGUUGUUGGUGAAGAAGGAUAGAGGUAGUAACUGGCCUUUAUUUGACGGUAAUCAACCAGAAAGUCACGGCUAACUACGUGCCAGCAGCCGCGGUAAUACGUAGGUGGCAAGCGUUGUCCGGAUUUAUUGGGCGUAAAGCGAGCGCAGGCGGAAGAAUAAGUCUGAUGUGAAAGCCCUGGGCUUAACCGAGGACCUGCAUCGGAAACUGUUUUGCUUGAGUGCAGAAGAGGAGGGUGGAAUUCCAUGUGUAGCGGUGGAAUGCGUAGAUAUAUGGAAGAACACCAGUGGCGAAGGCGACUCUCUGGUCUGCAACUGACGCUGAGGCUCGAAAGCAUGGGUAGCGAACAGG